UAUUAGAAAGAAUACCAAUUGCGAAGGCAGCUUUCUGGAUCAUUACUGACACUGAGGAACGAAAGCAUGGGUAGCGAAGAGGAUUAGUUACCCUCGUAGUCCAUGCCGUAAACGAUGUGUGUUAGAUGUUGGAGAUUUAUUUUCAGUAUCGCAGCGAAAGCGAUAAACACACCGCCUGGGGAGUACGACCGCAAGGUUAAAACUCAAAUGAAUUGACGGGGACCCGCACAAGUAGUGGAGCAUGUGGUUUAAUUCGAAGAUACGCGCAGAACCUUACCAACACUUGACAUGUUCGUCGCGACUUUAAGAGAUUAAAGUUUUCGGUUCGGCCGGACGAAACACAGGUGCUGCAUGGCUGUCGUCAGCUCGUGUCGUGAGAUGUUGGGUUAAGUCCCGCAACGAGCGCAACCCCCACUUUUAGUUGCCAUCAUUAAGUUGGGCACUCUGAAAGAACUGCCAGUGAUAAGCUGGAGGAAGGUGGGGAUGACGUCAAGUCCUCAUGGCCCUUACGUGUUGGGCUACACACGUGCUACAAUGGUAUCUACAACAGGAAGCAAAACGGCAACGUUAAGCAAAUCCUUAAAAGAUACCUCAGUUCGGAUUGCACUCUGCAACUCGAGUGCAUGAAGCUGGAAUUACUAGUAAUCGUGGAUCAGCGUGCCACGGUGAAUGCGUUCCCGGGCCUUGUACACACCGCCCA
rnacentral:rRNA from 1 species